UGUCAGAUUUAAGAAUAUUAACAAUUCUAAAGUUGACUAUUAUUCUUAGUUAAUCGUAAAUUGUUGUAAUAUGCGUAUGACUUGCGAAUGUAAUGCUCAUUUAACUUAAAUAAACCAGGCUUGAUGACGUAUGCAGCCUGCAUAUGCGACCUCCGCAGGAUGCAGCCUUCCGUUUCAGAAACGGCCUACAAGUGUGAGCGUGCGCGAGAUUCUGUCUGAAUUGAUUCUUUAGUAAUGGCAAAGCAAAAAUUUACUGUCGUGGUGAUUAAACGCAUUUUAAAGUUUAAAUUAAAACGCCUAACUUACCUUUCCAGGGGUUUCUGUUCCUGCAGUCUUUCAGGGGUGCUGGCGCGUAUGACGAUGCGGACAUGAACAGCAUACUACAGUAUACCGCCACCUACUGUACUGUAGUACAAUAACGUCUUUUAAACAUCUAAACAUGUCCUCCAAAAAGGAAAAAGGAAAAAACAUUGGAAAACAAUUUUAGCCUAAGGUUUCCUGUGCUGUUUUGCUCCAUUUUACUGAACAAAAUAAGGCUGAGGUAGCACCAUCCUUGUGGUUAGAGUGAAAGAAUGUGGGUAUUGAGACCAAAAUAAACAAUGUGCCAUUCUGGACAAACAGCUGUGGACAAUAUGCAGUCAGAGUAGCCCAUUUUCUCACACAGACCUGAGGAUAAGAUUUCCAGUUUGAAAGUGAAGAAAAUGAAUCAUUAUUAACAGCAAAUAGGAGUAUUUCUCAGCUGAAAAGCCAGGUGAAACUAUAAGGUCACUAUGAUUCACUUUCAUAUUAUCAUUCUUUUCAGAUUUUUUUCCCUGUGUUUUUUUUGUUAGAUGAGGAGCAACCAGUAAGAAAAAGCAAAAAGAUGUUUUGAUGUUGCCUGAGGCACCUUAUUUUCCAUUUCAUGCACAAUCACAAAUGCAGCACAUCAAUCAAUUUCUUCCAACCAGCGAAUCAAGAAAUCUGGGAGUGGAGAAUCAUUCUGAAAGUAGACCAAAUCCAGGACAACAUCACAACAGUGGUCGGAAAAAUGCAGCAAGCCAAGCUGACUUUCAAAAGAUGAUUCGUUAUCUGUUUCUUCAGAGGGGAGGCAGUUUGGGAGAUGGGAAUUAGGAGGAUGCUACAGUUACACAGGGCAAAUUUCAGCAGCUCAGUUUCAAACUUGCAACUAACAUUGAGUUAAAGUUAGAAGACCACGGAAAUAUUUGACAUCGGAGUCCAGCAGACAGCCAGAGACACGCACACACACGCAGCUGAAGCGCGUUUGACUGACGCGUACGGGAGAUCCGGCACGCGCACGGGAGCUCGCGCACGCUCACACAAACACGGAGCACAGGAUAAUUACAACUGUUUAAUUAAAAUAAAAGAACU